CCUACGGGAGGCAGCAGUGAGGAAUAUUGGUCAAUGGUCGGGAGCCUGAACCAGCCAAGCCGCGUGAGGGAUGAAGGUACAGAGUAUCGUAAACCUCUUUUGUCAGGGAGCAAAGGCGGGGACGUGUCCCCUGAUGAGUGUACCUUAAGAAAAAGCAUCGGCUAACUCCGUGCCAGCAGCCGCGGUAAUACGGAGGAUGCGAGCGUUAUCCGGAUUUAUUGGGUUUAAAGGGUGCGCCGGCGGUCUGUUAAGUCAGCGGUGAAAGGCCGGGGCCCAACCCCGGCCGCGCCUUGGAAACUGGCAGUCUCGAGUUCAGGAGAGGUAGGCGGAAUGCGUGGUGUAGCGGUGAAAUGCAUAGAUAUCACGCAGAACUCCGAUUGCGAAGGCAGCUUGCCGG
rnacentral:rRNA from 1 species